GUUAUGUCAAAAACAAUAUUUACUCAUAAAAAUGCACAUAUGAUGGUAUAUGGAAAGAGGGGCGGAGCAAAACAUUGGAAUAUAAAUUGACCACUGCGUUACCGAUUGACAGGCACACGAGAGAGACCACACUAAAAAGCCUGUUACAACUUUGGCUUUGCUUAAUAGAUAUCUGUUUGUUUCAAACAGAAGAAACACUGCAGCCUAUCAUCUAUUCCCUCAAAUUUACCGAGAUGACAGUGUUAAAGUUAGUGGUUUUGAUAAUUGUAGUGUUUGCGCAGGUUUACUGUGCCCUGGGAACCCCAACCAGCGACGAUUGAGAUAUUUGGUCGAUUGAAAACUGGCAGAGGGAUCCGUUGGAGAGUGGCUUGGCCUUCCGCGUGGUUGACCUCACCAAGAGGUCCAAAUCGCAGCAGGUUCAACAACUCGUGGAGAAAAGCUCAGAUUUAGGAGUCCCUCAACAGAUUCGAAGAAAUAAAGAAAUGUUUUUUGGACUCAUGGGUCGAAGGUCCCCAAGUGGAGGUAGAGUCAAGCACCUUACCAGAUGAUAAAUAUGUUAGCUAUCAUUCUUCAGAGCAAUUUCAAUCUAAUGUAUUUAUUCCAUAUUUGUUUUUUCAGUCACAAGAGGAAUGGAACAAGCCCUAGUAUUACUAGAGAUGAGAUAUAACUUGAUUGUUCAAAGUUACUGGAAUAAUCAAUCUUGCUCAAAUUAUUCAUCUGGGUCAAAGCAAUCCAAUACAUGCAACAAAGUUUAAUUGAUGUAGCAUAAGUAAGGAAUGUGUAAUAAGGGUAAAUAAUUAUUUGACCCAUGUGUUUAAAAACUGGGGCAGGGAUUUGCUGCUACUAAUUGACAUUUUAUGUCUUCCUUAACUGUAUCUUUCUGUAUUCUCCUUUGCAAUACAAGCUGCUUGUCAUGUUCAAUCAAGUAUUUUUUUGUUGUUGCAUAAUAUUAGAUGGCUUGUUAUGCAUACAAACAGGUAUAUUUGUCUAACUUAAGAUAAUUCACACGAGAGCAUUACUGAACUUCAAGAUUCAUUAAUAUUUUCUGUGCUUCAUAUCAAAUACUGAUAAUUUGUCAGUGAACCCCUACACAUCUGUGGCAAUGGCUCAAUGCUGUUCAAAUUUCCUUAAUAAAAACAAUUUGUUCAAUCAAGUGCA
rnacentral:lncRNA from 1 species